AGUAAUUUAUUACUAAGGGGUUUGUUAAUAAAUGGGUAAUUGUUUAAUUAGAUUUUUAUGAAAAAUUUAAAGUAUUAAUUUGUUUACAUAAAUUAAAUAAAAGAUUAAAAAUUAUUUUGGAUUUGAAUUAUGUUUUUGGUGUGAAAGUAUAUAAUAGUUAGGUUUUAAAAAAAAAUUGAUAAAUAAACUGGAAGGGGGAAUAUUAUAAAUGAAAUAGUAAUUGAUUGUACUUUUUGCAUAAUGGGCUUAUGAUUAAAAGUUAAUUUAAAGUCUCUAAGUAAAUUGAUCUAAAUUUUUAUUAAUGAAGUUGUUGCAAAAGUGAUUUAAUGGAGAUUUUGAAGUGAAACGCUGACGAAAUUUGUGAUAUAUGGUUCUAUUAUAAUUACUAUAGGUAAGAUAAUUAUGUUUAUUUAUAUAUUAUUGGAUCAGCAAUGAUAUUAAUAUUAAGUAUGUAUGUUUAAUGUAUAGGAAUAAGGGUUAAGAUAAAUUUUAGUUUAGGUAAAAAUAAUGUAAGUUUUAGUAUAUUUAUAAAUAUUAAUUUUAGGAAUUAGGCAAAAGUUGUUUCAUCUGUUUAUCAAAAACAUAGCUUUUUGGAAAUAUAAAAGGUGAUUUCUGCUCAAUGAUAUUAAAUAGCCAUAGUAUUUAUGACUAUGCAAAGGUAGCAUAAUCAUUUGUCUUAUAAAUUAAGACUGGAAUGAAUGGAUAUAUUGGGGCAAUUCUUUCUUAGAUUAAUGAGUAAAAGUAAAUUUUUUAGUGAGGAAGCUAAAAUUUUGUUGAGGGACGAGAAGACCCUAUUAAGCUUAAUAAAAUUAUUUUGUUGGGGAAACAAAAGAAAAAAAUUUCUUUUUUCAAAAAUUUUUUGAUAAAUUUUUUGAUUCACUAUUGGUGAAUAAUAGAACAAGUUACUAUAGGGAUAACAGCAUAAUAUUUUUUAAAAGUUCAUAUUGACAAAAAAGGUUAUGACCUCGAUGUUGGAUUAAAAUUAUUAUAUGAUGUAGUUGUUGUAUAAAUUAGUCUGUUCGACUAUUAAAAUUUUACAUGAUCUGAGUUCAAAUCGGUGUAAGCCAGAUUGGUUUCUAUCUUCAGAUAGUUUCGUGUUAGUACGAAAGGACCACAUGAAGUUUUUUGAGAAGUUA
rnacentral:rRNA from 1 species